UACGGAGGGGGCAAGCGUUGUUCGGAAUUACUGGGCGUAAAGGGCGCGCAGGCGGCUGCUCAAGUCAGACGUGAAAUCCCUCGGCUUAACCGGGGAACUGCGUCUGAUACUGGAUGGCUUGAGUUUGGGAGAGGGACGCGGAAUUCCAGGUGUAGCGGUGAAAUGCGUAGAUAUCUGGAGGAACACCGGUGGCGAAGGCGGCGUCCUGGACCAACACUGACACUGAUGAGCGAAAGCCAGGGGAGCAAACGGG
rnacentral:rRNA from 1 species